rnacentral:lncRNA from 1 species
AGACGCGCGCGUGAUUUUCAAGAUGGCGGCGCCGCGAUACGCGAGGAGGUGGGCGAGCAGGUGUGUUAUAUACUAGGCGGGCAGGUGUAGUAUAUACUAGGCGAGCAGGUGUAGUAUAUACUAGGCGAGCAGGUGUAGUAUAUACUAGGCGAGCAGGUGUAGUAUAUACUAGGCGAGCAGGUGUGUUAUAUGAUUGGCGGGCAGGUGUAGUAUAUGAUUGGCGACCAGGUGUGUUAUAUACUAGGCGGGCAGGUGUGUUAUAUUAUUG